rnacentral:rRNA from 1 species
UGCCGCGUGAGUGAAGAAGGCCACCGGGUUGUAAAGCUCUUUUGUCAGGGAAGAAACGGUGAGGGCUAAUAUCCUUUGCUAAUGACGGUACCUGAAGAAUAAGCACCGGCUAACUACGUGCCAGCAGCCGCGGUAAUACGUAGGGUGCAAGCGUUAAUCGGAAUUACUGGGCGUAAAGCGUGCGCAGGCGGUUAUGUAAGUCAGAUGUGAAAUCCCCGGGCUCAACCUGGGAAUGGCAUUUGAGACUGCAUGGCUAGAGUGUGUCAGAGGGGGGUAGAAUUCCACGUGUAGCAGUGAAAUGCGUAGAGAUGUGGAGGAAUACCGAUGGCGAAGGCAGCCCCCUGGGAUAACACUGACGCUCAUGCACGAAAGCGUGGGGAGCAAACAGGAUUAGAUACCCUGGUAGUCCACGCCCUAAACGAUGUCUACUAGUUGUCGGGACUUAAUUGUCUUGGUAACGCAGCUAACGCGUGAAGUAGACCGCCUGGGGAGUACGGUCGCAAGAUUAAAACUCAAAGGAAUUGACGGGGACCCGCACAAGCGGUGGAUGAUGUGGAUUAAUUCGAUGCAACGCGAAAAACCUUACCUACCUUGACAUGUACGGAACCUCUGAGAGAU